rnacentral:misc_RNA from 1 species
AAUUAGAAAAAAAUUGAAAAUAAAUCCGGAAGGGUGUUAAUUUGGUUGCAUUUCAACGGGUGCCUCCAGGGACAAGAGAAGAUACGCUUUUUAAUUAUUGAAUUGAUAAUUUGAACCUGACGCUCUUGCUGUAGAAAGAGAGAAUCUAUCAUCUUACUAUGUCCCUUUUCAAAGAUUAUGCGUGACCCAUAUACCUCGUGCUUUUCACAAAUGGCAAAUGGACUGUUCACAGAAAAGGAACACCUGCUCCUGUCAAACUUGCGAGCGCGUUAGAGAAAAAAUUCGCAGAAUAUUCUGUGUUUUAGAUAUUUACGGAUGGCUGCUCGAUGCAUAUAUCGUGGACUUCUACAAAGAUGAUUUAUGGGAUAGGCUACCGAACAGUUGGAAAAAGUUCUUUGAGAAUACUACACCAGAAGAAUUGGGAUCCUGGAUCCUGAACGAACAUCCAAGGUCCUCACGCAAAACUCGAGUAUGGCCUUUGUCGCUACAAGCACUUCGCCAUGUCAUUAGACUAUUGGAAAUAGAUAGAGAUCAGCAAAGCACUGUAUCAUUGGAAUGCGAAAAUGCUAAUUACAAAAUGAAAGGGAGCCUUAAUCGCUCUUGUUCAUCUGGAGCAACAAUAUGCAGUGGAGAGACAAAUAUGGAUUUGCUCAUUGACAAUUCAAAAAGUCAUCAGAAAUUACAAAAAAUGUUUGUUAAACACAUGAAACCAAAAAAAACACACGAAAUUGAUAUAAUGGCUACGAUUGUUGCCGAGUGUGCGGCAUCAGCACAUUCCGAAUGUGUGCUUGAUGUUGGAGCAGGAAUGGGGCACCUCGCUCGGAUGCUUGCUUACAGACAUGAUAUGUGCGUUACUUGUGUGGAGCAACAGCCAGUGCUGUCAGAACGUGCACGGAAUUUAGAUUUGCAGUAUGAAUCAAUGGUUCUAAAGCAUCUAUCCAUCUCGCAGGGACAAAAACCUCAUCACAUAUCGUUGAAAAUUGAGAGAGAUUCAGGUUCAAGAUUACUAGAUGAACUAAAUCAGGUGUUCAAAGACAAUUUUCAAUUAAACCCAAAAUUGUCAGGAUUUGGUUUGAUUGGUUUACAUCCGUGUGGAGACCUGGCUGCGACAUUACUGCACUCUUACACAGAGUCUGACUGUGCAAAGUUUAUUUGUAUAGCUGCAUGCUGCUACAUGAAGCUUACAAUCGGAGAAAAACCUGGAGUCUUGCAAGGCUAUCCUUUGAGCAAAUUUUUAGGAACAUUGAAAGUCAACAUAUUCUCAUAUGCUGCCUUGGAAGUUUCCUGUCACGCGGUCGAAAAUCAUUGUCAUAAAUUGAAAUCAGCUGAAUGCUGGGAGUUGAAGGUACACGCCUAUCGAGCUGUACUAGAAAGUUUGCUAGUUAAAAAAAACCCCACUUUGCGUCAUGGAAAAUUGAAGAGUGUGAAACUAAAACAGGAUAUGACAUUCAGAGACUACUGUGUAGCAGCUACUAAGAAUCUUUCUCAAGAGUAUUGUCCAGACAACAUGACGGAGACUAGUAGUUCUGAAGUUACUGCAUACUUGGAUCAUUGGGAACGAGUCGUGAUAUUUACCUCCAUUCGAAUGAUGUUAGCCCCGCUUGUGGAGAGCGUUGUUUUGUUGGAUAGAUUUUUAUACCUGUCAGAAAAAAUGCUCUCACCUAAAUUAAAAGCUGUAUUCGACCCUGCAAUAUCACCACGAAAUUUUAUCUUGACAUCUGUUAAAAUAGAAGUGUAAUAUUUUUCUAUAGAAUAAACGGUUAUUAUCAUAACGCCUAUGCAACUCUAGACAUUUCAAUGAUAGAAGACUAGUGUGAAUACGUUUGAAAACUGUUACGGAUCAGAAGAGUCGAUGCAUUCAAUUGUUAAUGUGCGACUUUUCACAAAAUGCAUAUUCUCCUAGUGGAUUUGAGGUUGAAGCCUUCUGUAACAUUUCUAGCAAAACGAAAUUCAUAAUGCAUUAACUUUUUCGUGAGAGUUUCAAAUUUUUACUCCACUGAAUCUUCCAAUAAGAAAAAUUUAAGUACUCAAGCUAGAUUGCAAACUGCGACUUAAUACGGUGUCUGCAAAAGUUAGAGAUCUCAGCUGGAUGACUUGGACAUUGCUUCGGUAAUUGAUGAAACAUUCUAACUGGAGUUUUAU